GACGAACGCUGGCGGCGUGCCUAAUACAUGCAAGUUGAGCGAUGAAGCUUGGUGCUUGCGCCAAUUUGAAGAGCAGCGAACGGGUGAGUAACGCGUGGGGAAUCUGCCUUUGAGCGGGGGACAACAUUUGGAAACGAAUGCUAAUACCGCAUAACAACUUUAAACAUAAGUUUUAAGUUUGAAAGAUGCAAUUGCAUCACUCAAAGAUGAUCCCGCGUUGUAUUAGCUAGUUGGUGAGGUAAAGGCUCACCAAGGCGAUGAUACAUAGCCGACCUGAGAGGGUGAUCGGCCACAUUGGGACUGAGACACGCCCCAAACUCCUACGGGAGGCAGCAGUAGGGAUUCUGCGGCAAUGGACGAAAGUCAUACCGAGCAACGCCGCGUGAGUGAAGAAGGUUUUCGGAUCGUAAAGCUCUGUUGGUAGAGAAGAACGUGGGUGAGAGUGGAAAGCUCAGCAAGUGACGGUAACUACCCAGAAAGGGACGGCUAACUACGUG
rnacentral:rRNA from 1 species